CGUGGGGCUUGAACUCAUGAAUUAUGACAUCAUGACCUGAGCUGAAGCUGGGCACCUAACUGCCACCCAGGCUCCCUGUAGGUUGGCACAUUCUAAAAGGAAAUGCUAGACCCCCUAGCUAUGGAGGGCAUGCAAAGCUUCCAAGAUUGAAGCAAGCCUGUCUAGAGGAACGAGAGACAUUUGCAAAUAUCCCUCACCCUCAUCCUUGUCUGAAGGCCUGUCUCCCAUCCACCCUUCACCUCUGCGAUCUAAAAAAGCCUCAGCUGAAGAGUUUCCUUAGGCCAGAGAUUGGGCUGUCGAGUUGGUAUGUCCAGUGCUUAUGACCAGGAUUCACUACUGGGCAUGGAGAUCUUUUGCCUCUGCAGUUUCUUUACCAUCCAGAUCUGCCAGCCACAAAGGGCAACAAUUUGCACUCAGACAAAACAGUUGUUCCUUUUUAAAUGAGGGCAAGAAACAAUGGAACAGGUACCAAAGGAUGUCUUUACCUCCGGGGCCGGGGGGGGGGGGGGGGGUGGGAAGGGAGAUGAUGCAAACCAGGGAUAAAGCCCAGAAACUGUUGCCAGGAUACAAGACUGCUGGGUUGCAGAGGUCACAGAACCAAGGAAAAGGUUUCACAAGUGACUAA
rnacentral:lncRNA from 1 species